UCUUAGCUCAGUUGGUAGAGCAGCGGAUUGAAAAUCC
rnacentral:tRNA from 1 species